UGGGGAAUAUUGGACAAUGGGCGGAAGCCUGAUCCAGCAAUGCCGCGUGAGGGAUGACGGCCUUCGGGUUGUAAACCUCUUUCGGUAGGGACGAAGCGCGAGUGACGGUACCUACUAAAGAAGCACCGGCCAACUACGUGCCAGCAGCCGCGGUAAUACGUAGGGUGCGAGCGUUGUCCGGAAUUAUUGGGCGUAAAGGGCUCGUAGGCGGUUUGUCGCGUCGGGAGUGAAAACCAGGUGCUUAACACCGUGGCUUGCUUUCGAUACGGGCAGACUAGAGGUAUGCAGGGGAGAACGGAAUUCCUGGUGUAGCGGUGAAAUGCGCAGAUAUCGGGAGGAACACCGGUGGCGAAGGCGGUUCUCUGGGCAUGACCUGACGCUGAGGAGCGAAAGUGUGGGAGCGAACA
rnacentral:rRNA from 1 species